rnacentral:pre_miRNA from 1 species
GGGGGAGCAUAGGAGCCUGGGCUGUGUCCCCUGGUGCCCUGGGAUCCGGGGCCUGCACCACGUGUAAUCGCACUCCUGGGCCGUGUAGCCCCUU